rnacentral:lncRNA from 10 species
GUUUUUGUUUGUUUGUUUGUUUUUUGUUUUUGGUCACGCCACACGUGAACCCAUGAAUUCCGCUUUCAGAAUGUUUAAUCUAACCUUCUUUGAACAAAAUUGUGAUUUUUUUUUUUUUUUUGAGACAGAGUCUCGCCUUGUCACCCAGGCUGGAGUCCAGUGGCAUGGUCUUGGCUCACUGCAACCUCCAUCUCCUGGGUUCAAGUGGUUCUCCUGCCUCUGUAUUCUGAGUAGCUGGGAUUACAGGCGUAUGCCACCAUGCCUGGCUAAUUUUCAUAUUUUUAAUAGAGAUGGAAUUUCGUCAUGUUGGCCAGGCUGGUCUCAAAAUCCUGACCUCAGGUGAUCCACACACCUCGCCCUCCCAAAGUCCUGGAAUUACAGGUGUGAACCAUUGCACCCAGCCAAAAUUCUGAUUUAAUGAUCCUUUUGUAGUUCAUGAGCAUGACCAUCGAGUGUUUACAUGCAUGUGU